rnacentral:rRNA from 1 species
UUGCACCUACGGGGGGCAGCAGUGAGGAAUAUUGGUCAAUGGGCGGAAGCCUGAACCAGCCAAGUCGCGUGAGGGAAUAAGGCCCUACGGGUCGUAAACCUCUUUUGCCGGGGAGCAAGGGCCGGGACGCGUCCCGGCCCGGAGAGUACCCGGAGAAAAAGCAUCGGCUAACUCCGUGCCAGCAGCCGCGGUAAUACGGAGGAUGCGAGCGUUAUCCGGAUUUAUUGGGUUUAAAGGGUGCGUAGGCGGUUUUUUAAGUUAGUGGUUAAACGUCGGGGCUUCACCUUGAUUUGCCAUUAAUACUU